UACGUAGGGUGCAAGCGUUGUCCGGAAUUAUUGGGCGUAAAGAGCUCGUAGGCGGUCUGUCGCGUCGGCUGUGAAAUCCCGAGGCUCAACCUCGGGUCUGCAGUCGAUACGGGCAAACUAGAGUAUUGCAGGGGAGACUGGAAUUCCUGGUGUAGCGGUGAAAUGCGCAGAUAUCAGGAGGAACACCGGUGGCGAAGGCGGUUCUCUGGGCAUUACCUGACGCUGGAGGAGCGAAAGCUAGGGGGGCGAACGGG
rnacentral:rRNA from 1 species